AUCAAAGUUGUUGCAGUUGAAAAGCUCGUAGUCGUAUUUUUGGUGGGUCGAUGUCUUAGGCAGUGUUUACGAAAGUGAAUGCUGGGUUAGGGCCGCCUGCCAUUUUGUGGAACACUGUGACCAAGUUGUGGUUUACUCUAUGACUUGGCCGCACCACUCCGUCACUGAGAGCAAAUUGGAGUGCUCAAAGCAAGCUUUAUAGCUUUGAACAUCUUAGCUUGGAAUGACAAAGUAUGACUUCCCGUUCACUUUGUUGGUUAUGAAUAGGUAGUAAUGAUAAAUAGGAACAGUUGCGGGGGUACUCGUACUGGAAAGUCAGAGGUGAAAUUCUUGGAUUUUUCCACGACGAACGACUGCGAAAGCAUUUACCAAGGAUGUUUUCAUUGAUCAAGAACGAAAGUGCGAGGAUCGAAGAUGAUUAGAUACCAUCGUAGUUCGCACAGUAAACGAUGCCGACUCGGGAUUAAGUUCUCUUCGUUAUCAUAGAAGGAUCUUAGCACCGUAUGUGAAAACAAAGUCUUUGGGUUCCGGGGGGAGUAUGGUCGCAAGGUUGAAACUUAAAGGAAUUGACGGAAGGGCACACCAGAGGUGGAGCCUGCGGUUUAAUUUGACACAACACGGGGAAACUCACCAGGUCCAGACAUGAGAAGGAUUGACAGUUUGAAAGCACUUUCUUGAUUUCAUGGGUGGUGGUGCAUGGCCGUUCUUAGUUGGUGGAGUGAUUUGUCUGGUUGAUUCCGAUAACGAACGAGACUCUCAGAGUAAACUGGUUUAGGUGGUAAUUCGCGUUACUUCCGGCCUCUUUUCUCGACAAUUCGUUUUAAACGAAAGGAAGCGGAGAGCAAUAACAGGUCUGUGAUGCCCCUCGAUGUUCUGGGCUACACGCGCGCUACAAUGACGAGUUCAACGAGUUAUUAUCUCCUUGCCCGGAAGGGUGUGGGUAAUCUUUUAAAUGCUCGCUGAUGGGGCUAGAUUUUUGCAAUUAUUAAUCUUCAACGAGGAAUCUCUAGUAUGUGCAGUUCAUCAGACUGCGCAGAAUGCGUCCCUGCCCUUUGUACACACCGCCCGUCGCACCUACCGAUUGGACGAUCCGGCAAGAUGUUUGGAGUUGUGUUUGUUGGACUUUCGGGUUUGACAGAUGCGACGAAGCUCCU
rnacentral:rRNA from 1 species